rnacentral:rRNA from 1 species
GACGAACGCUGGCGGCAGGCUUAACACAUGCAAGUCGAGCGCCCCGCAAGGGGAGCGGCAGACGGGUGAGUAACGCGUGGGAAUCUACCCAUCUCUACGGAAUAACGCAUGGAAACGUGUGCUAAUACCGUAUACGUCCUUCGGGAGAAAGAUUUAUCGGAGAUGGAUGAGCCCGCGUUGGAUUAGCUAGUUGGUGGGGUAAAGGCCUACCAAGGCGACGAUCCAUAGCUGGUCUGAGAGGAUGAUCAGCCACACUGGGACUGAGACACGGCCCAGACUCCUACGGAGGCAGCAGUGGGGAAUAUUGGACAAUGGGCGCAAGCCUGAUCCAGCCAUGCCGCGUGAGUGAUGAAGGCCCUAGGGUUGUAAAGCUCUUUCACCGGUGAAGAUAAUGACGGUAACCGGAGAAGAAGCCCCGGCUAACUUCGUGCCAGCAGCCGCGGUAA